rnacentral:rRNA from 1 species
AACGAACGCUGGCGGCAGGCCUAAUACAUGCAAGUCGAACGGAUGUAGCAAUACAUUAGUGGCGCACGGGUGCGUAACACGUGGGAACAUACCCCUUGGUAAGGAAUAAUAUCUGGAAACGGAUACUAAUACCUUAUAAUAUCUUCGGAUCAAAGAUUUAUCGCCAAGGGAUUGGCCCGCGUCUGAUUAGCUAGUUGGUGAGGUAACGGCUCACCAAGGCGACGAUCAGUAGCUGGUCUGAGAGGAUGAUCAGCCACACUGGGACUGAGACACGGCUCAGACUCCUACGGGAGGCAGCAGUAAGGAAUAUUGGACAAUGGGCGAAAGCCUGAUCCAGCCAUGCCGCGUGAGUGAAGAAGGCCUUAGGGUUGUAAAGCUCUUUCAAUGGUGAAGAUAAUGACGGUAGCCAUAGAAGAAGCCCCGGCUAAAUUCGUGCCAGCCGCCGCGGUAA